rnacentral:rRNA from 1 species
UUUCAUAAUAACUCGGCAAAUUACGGGAAAAUUCCUGUGAUGAUUCAAACGGAUUUCUGACCUAUCAACUUUAGAUGGCAAAGUAGGGGUUUGCCAUGGUGACAACGGGUGACGGGGAAUUAGGGUUCGAUUCCGGAGAGGGAGCCUGAGAAACGGCUACCACUUCCAAGGAAGGCAGCAGGCGCGCAAAUUACCCAAUGCUAAUUCGGCGAGGUAGUGACAAGAAAUACCAAUGUAGGACCCAACGGGUACUACGUUUGGAAUGAGAACAAUUUAAAAACCUUAACGAGGAACAAUUGGAGGGCAAGUCUGGUGCCAGCAGCCGCGGUAAUUCCAGCUCCAAUAGUGUAUAUUAAAGUUGCUGCGGUUAAAAAGCUCGUAGUUGGAUUACGAAGUGGUGUUUAAAUGUCAUUUUGGUUUGUUUGUCUUUCGGGGCAUUCAGGUUAACUUGGCUUUUACUCACUGUUGUCAUUGUCUUUGCCCGAGGUAUAUGCCUUGUGUGCAUGGCAUUGACCUUCUAUUUUAUGGUAAUGUUGUAUCUUUCGGGGUACAUUCAUUCCAUAUAGUUUACUUUGAAAAAAUUAGGGUGUUUAAAGCAGGCGAAAAGGCUUCGGAAUAUAUUAGCAUGGGAUAAUAGAAUACGAUCUAGGUCGUAAUUUGUUGGUUUCUACGGCUUAGGUAAUGAUUGACAGGGAUAGUUGGGGUCGCUCGUAUUGAGUUGUCAGAGGUGAAAUUCUAGGAUUAACUCAAGACGAACUAAUGCGAAAGCAUUCGGCAAGGAUGUUUUCAUUAAUCAAGAACGAAAGUUGGGGGAUCGAAGAUGAUCAGAUACCGUCGUAGUCUCAACUGUAAACUAUGUCGACCGAGGAUCCGGUAGCGUUACAUGGAUGACCUUCCGGGCACUCUGUGAGAAAUCAUAAGUAUUUGGAUUUCGGGGGGAGUAUGGUCGCAAGGCUGAAACUUAAAGGGAUUGACGGAAGGGCACCACCAGGAGUGGAAUCUGCGGCUUAAUUUGACCCAACACGGGAAAACUUACCAGGUCCGGACACAGUGAGGAUUGACAGAUUGAGAGCUCUUUCUUGAUUUUGUGGGUGGUGGUGCAUGGCCGUUUUUAGUUGGUGGAGUGAUUUGUCUGGUUAAUUCCGUUAACGAACGAGACCUUAACCUAUUAAAUAGCUGCGCGAACCCAGGUUCUUUAACCAUUCUCUCCUUCGGGGGGGCGG